UUUCAGAUAGGAUAACUUAAUCUAUUAAUUUUAGGAAUUAAAUAUAUAUAUGUAUAGUAUAUUCUGAAUA
rnacentral:tRNA from 1 species